AACGAACGCUGGCGGCGCGCCUAAUACAUGCAAGUCGAGCGAGAAGACGUAGCAAUACGUUUGUAAAGCGGCGAACGGGUGAGGAAUACAUGGGUAACCUACCCUCGAGUGGGGAAGUAACUAGCCGAAGGUUAGCUAAUACCGCGUACGCUCCUUGGACUUCGGUUCAGGGAGGAAAGCGAUACCGUGGGUAUCGCGCUCUUGGAUGGGCUCAUGUCCUAUCAGCUUGUUGGUGAGGAACGGCUCACCAAGGCUUCGACGGGUAGCUGGUCUGAGAGGACGAUCAGCCACACUGGCACUGCGACACGGGCCAGACUCCUACGGGAGGCAGCAGUAAGGAAUAUUGCGCAAUGGGCGAAAGCCUGACGCAGCGACGCCGC
rnacentral:rRNA from 1 species